CUGAGCGCCGAGAGUUCACAAGAGCUCUGCCCUCAUCACAACCUCUUCUGCAAAACCAUGAAGACAAUCACUAUUGAGUAUUGUAAAGACUGAAGUUAUGCGUACCGCUACCAGGAACUGGCCGGCGUUCUCCGGCAGAUUCCUGGAGUGAAGGUGAAGGGAGUCACCGGGAGGACAGACAGCUUUGAGGUCUCCCUGGAGGAUGAGCUUCUCUACUCAAAGCUAGAGACGAAGUCGUUUCCGGAUCCUGAGCAGAUGGCGGACAAGGUGAAGGAGAGGCUUCCUGAAGAAAACAUCAAGAAGAAAUCCAAGAGACGGAUCUGCUCUGCCCAGUAAAAGGUGGAGAAACAAACAAAUGGAACAACAACAAAAGCAACUACAAACCUGUUUCACGCGUCCGGAGUACAAAAAUUAGAGUAAGGAUUUGAAUAAAGCGGAUGCAAAAUCUGAUCUGGGAACGGCUCUGCCACGGCUGUGAACACAAACGAGGCGUUCGUGAGAGCGGCUCUCUGGAUCCAGGCGGCGAUCGACGCCUCUUUUUUAUGAAUGCACACGCCUAAAACUCCAGUGGUGUGCGCACGAUGCAAGCCGAGAAGCUCCUCGGCCGCCUGGAGCCCGACGGUCUGCUCCGGUCCCGUCGAAGUCACGAGAGACGGAGAAGAGAUGCUCCCAAAGAAGAUGCGCGUAUCAUCUGGGGAUUUCUUUUGUUCCCAAUACUGACCAGAGUCUAAGAGUCUUUGUGGGAAUCUUUAAUCGCUCCUGGGCCCACGACCCUCGGGUCGCUUCAUUCUUGAUGUUUUUACAAUCUAAAGUAUCUCAUUAAUAUCCGCUUCCCUCUGUCAAAAAGUAAUUACAGAGGAGCAAUAAAACCAUAAGACCAUUA